rnacentral:rRNA from 1 species
AGUGAACGCUGGCGGCAGGCUUAACACAUGCAAGUCGAACGGAAGCACACUACGAGCUUGCUCUUACGGGUGGCCAGUCGCGUACGGGUGAGGAAUGUAUCCGGCCCUAGUUUUUCGUGGGGCUUAACGAAAGGAAACCUACGAUAAUAUCGCAUAUGAUCCACGGGUGAAAGCAGGGGAUCGUCGGACCUUGCACGAAUGAAUGCGCCGAUGUCGGACUGGCUAGUUGGCGGGGUAAAGGCCAACCCAGGCGCCGAUACGCAGCUGGUCGGAGAGGAUGAUCGGCGGCACUGGAACUGGGACACGGACCAGGCUCCUACGGGAGGCAGCAGUGGGGAAUGUGGGACAGUGGGCGCAAGCCUGGUCCAGCGAUACCGCGUGUGUGGAGGAGGCCUUCGGGUUGUAAAGCCGUUUUGUUGGGAAAGAAACGCUUCAGGUUAAUACCCCGCUGUUCUGACGGUACCGGAAGAAUAAGCACCGGCUAACUACGUG